ACGCCAUCUCCACUUCCGACACUGGCCCAACCAUAAUAAAUGCCAAUGGAUACAUCAACUGGAAGAUUAGCUACUACUUGUUCAGGAAAAUUAGCUGCGGAGAUGCCCAGCGGCCUGGAGCCACGGCCGAAGCCCCGCGCCACUCGGGCCCGGCAGAAGCAGGGCAGAUGCCUCAUGUUAUAGUCCAGUCCGCUCAGGACACGGGCUGCGGCCGGGUCCGCGCGUUCUACGGGGCCGCCAUCGACGGGGUGCCCGGACCCUGGAUCAGCACGGGGUGGGGUGGGGACAUGGCCGUGAGCUCUGCCUGCCGCGGGGGCGCACCAGGGGCCUGGCGACAAGACGACACGCCGCGGUGGGUCCCUGAGGCUACCAACCCAACAAAAGCUUCCCGGCGACUCAAGAGCUGUGUCUCCCCAGACUGCCUUUGGAUUUGAACUGCCACUCUCCCCUAGGUCUCCAGCCUGGUGGCCUCCCCCAUGAGAUUUUGAACUCGCCAAGCCUCAAUAAUCCUGAAAAGCCACUGAGGAUAUGAGAAGAAGGCAGCCAUCCCCAAGCAGGAAGAGACACUCCACAGGAACUGAACUUGCCACCACCCUGAUCUCGAACUUCUAGUUUCCGUAACUAUGAGGCUUCCAUCCCUAAGCCUGAGCCAUAACGGAAGGGAAGGCAGUAAAAUUCUUUAAACUCCUAUCAACAUAUCAGGAGCCAAGCACAGUGCCAGGUGCAGUGGCUUAUGCCUGUAAUCUCAGCAUUUGGAGAGGCUGAGGUGGGAGGAUCACUUGCUUUGAGGAGUUUGAGGAUGCAGUGAGCUGUGACUGAGCCACCACACUCCAGCCUGGGUGAUAGGUUAUAGCAGAAGGCAUACUUGUGUUCAGGACAACUCGGCAAAGCCUGUGGUGAAGAGCGACAGUGAGAGAGAGGAAUACAGAACAGCUGUGUUUAAGUUCCAUCACUGCAGCUGAUGUGUACCUGGGAGAACAGUGUCCUAAACGACAGGCUGGAAUGCAGUGGUGCAAUCACAGCUCACUAUAGCCUUGACUUCCUGGGCUCAAGCAAUCCUCUUGUCUCAGCCUCUUGAGUAGAUGGGACUACAGACAGAGGUAUUGAUUCUCCAAUGUUGCCUCUGCUCUGUGGAAAAGAACUUCAGGGACCCAAGAAUAUAGAACCUCACCCUUUCCUCUCACAAUCAAAGGAUAGAUACAUAAAGUCAGGAUCUCAUUCUUGCUGGAGCUACUUAUCUGCCUGGACCCACACCACCCCCUAGUUCCAGGCCUGGCUCUCCCACCGCUAGCUCUGAACCUGAGCACGUUCUAUAAACAACAUGAGCAUCUGUAUCUCCCUUCAGAAAACAAAUGGUGCAGUCAUACUCAUCCUGCUGUGUUAAUGACUAUGUUCAUAAAA